GUGCUCUCUUCAGGAGUAUAUGUACUAAAAUUGGAAUGAUACAGAGAAGAUUAGCAUGGCCCCUGCACAAGGAUGACAUACAAAUUCAUGAAGCAUUCCAUAUUUUU
rnacentral:snRNA from 1 species